AACGCGAAGAACCUUACCAAGUCUUGACAUCCCCCUGACCGGCGCGUAAUGGUGCCUUUCCUUCGGGACAGGGGAGACAGGUGGUGCAUGGUUGUCGUCAGCUCGUGUCGUGAGAUGUUGGGUUAAGUCCCGCAACGAGCGCAACCCUUACCCUUAGUAGCCAGCAAUUCGGAUGGGCACUCUAGGGGGACUGCCAGGGAGAACCUGGAGGAAGGUGGGGAUGACGUCAAAUCAUCAUGCCCCUUAUGACUUGGGCUACGCACGUGCUACAAUGGCGUAAACAGAGGGAAGCGAAGGGGUGACUUGGAGCAAAUCCCAAAAAUAACGUCUCAGUUCGGAUUGUAGUCUGCAACUCGACUACAUGAAGCUGGAAUCGCUAGUAAUCGCAAAUCAGAAUGUUGCGGUGAAUACGUUCCCGGGUCUUGUACACACCG
rnacentral:rRNA from 1 species